UACGUAGGGGGCAAGCGUUGUCCGGAAUCAUUGGGCGUAAAGAGCGUGUAGGCGGCCUUAUAAGUCGGCUGUGAAAGUCAAGGGCUCAACCCUUGAAUGCCGGCCGAUACUGUGAGGCUAGAGUCCGGAAGAGGCGAGUGGAAUUCCUGGUGUAGCGGUGAAAUGCGCAGAUAUCAGGAGGAACACCGAUGGCGAAGACAGCUCGCUGGGACGGUACUGACGCUGAGACGCGAAAGCGUGGGGAGCGAACAGG
rnacentral:rRNA from 1 species